AGAGCGGAUCAGCGCGGGUGUCCAGCGCCCGGAUGUGGGCAGUCGGGGCUAGCCGCUGGGGCAGGGUGCCCCCAGCAAGAGGAGCAGCGGCUCCAAACCACAGAAUCUCCAACGCCGGACAGCGCGGCCUCGGUCACCAUAAGCCACAGGCAUCCUGCAGGCCAUCGCGUGUGGUGGAGCGCCCGGCGCUUACCGUGACUGGAGUCUCGCCCUGUCGCCCAGGCUGGAGUGCAAUGGCGUGAUCUCGGCUCACUACAACCUCCACCUCCCGGGAUCAAACAAUUCUCCUGCCUCAGCCUCCUGAAUAGCUGGGAUUACAGACGUGAGCCACCAGGCCCAGCUAAUUUUGUGUGUUUUUAGUAGAGACGGGGUUUCACCAUGUUGACCAGGCUGGUGUUGAACUCCUGACCUCGUGAUCCUCCCGCCUCAGCCUCCCAAAGUGCUGGGAUUACAGGCGUGAGCCACGACCCUGGCUGGGAAAGUUUUUAAUGCGCAGUCUGUUUUGAACUGACAUCAGUUGGGAAAAGCAAGAUGAAGAUUAAUAAAGCUCGUAUUCAUUUUAUUCUGAAGAA